rnacentral:hammerhead_ribozyme from 1 species
CUAACGAGUCCCAGAUAGGACGAAACACGUGUCUUGUAU